rnacentral:rRNA from 1 species
UACGUAGGGCGCAAGCGUUGUCCGGAAUUAUUGGGCGUAAAGAGCUCGUAGGCGGUUUGUCGCGUCUGCUGUGAAAACCUGAGGCUCAACCUCGGGCUUGCAGUGGGUACGGGCAGACUAGAGUGUGGUAGGGGUGACUGGAAUUCCUGGUGUAGCGGUGGAAUGCGCAGAUAUCAGGAGGAACACCGAUGGCGAAGGCAGGUCACUGGGCCGCAACUGACGCUGAGGAGCGAAAGCAUGGGGAGCGAACAGG